rnacentral:rRNA from 1 species
CCUACGGGAGGCAGCAGUGGGGAAUAUUGGGCAAUGGGCGCAAGCCUGACCCAGCAAUGCCGCGUGAAGGAAGAAGGCUUUCGGGUUGUAAACUUCUUUGACAGGGGAAGAGCAGAAGACGGUACCCUGAAAACAAGCCACGGCUAACUACGUGCCAGCAGCCGCGGUAAUACGGAGGAUGCGAGCGUUAUCCGGAUUUAUUGGGUUUAAAGGGUGCGCAGGCGGAAGAUCAAGUCAGCGGUAAAAUUGAGAGGCUCAACCUCUUCGAGCCGUUGAAACUGGUUUUCUUGAGUGAGUGAGAAGUAUGCGGAAUGCGUGGUGUAGCGGUGAAAUGCAUAGAUAUCACGCAGAACUCCGAUUGCGAAGGCAGCAUACCGGCGCUCAACUGACGCUCAUGCACGAAAGUGUGGGUAUCGAACAGGAUUAGAUACCCGAGUAGUC